rnacentral:rRNA from 1 species
AGYCGCGGUUAAACCAAGAUGAUUAAGUUAUACUCCAUCGGUGAAAAGACAGUUAGGCAAAAUUUAAUCGCUAGUCAAUUUAACUGUUAUUCAGAAGUAAAAUUCGAAAAUAGCUAGGAGAUCUUAAAUCCACUAGGAGGCUGAAGCUGUGAUAACUUUGAGGGAAACUGGGAUUAGAUACCCCAUUAUUCUUAGAAGUAAAAGAAUGCUAGUUUACCAGAGUACUAUGAACUCGUAGAUUUAAAACUCAAAGGGCUUGGCGGUGUUUUAGACUCUUCAGGGGAACCUGUCUCAUAAUCGACAAUCCACGUUAAACCUGACCUUUAUUUGUCAUCAGUUUGUAUACCGUCGUCGUCAGGUAACUUUUUAGAAUAGAGAAGUUAGCAAAGGAAGCAAGCUCAUAAUCUUUGACGUCAGAUCAAGGUGCAGCCUAUAUAAAGGGGAGGAUGGGUUACAAUUAUUAUAGUCAUAAGUACGGAAUAAUUACUUUAAAGGUGACUAUGAAGGAGGACUUGAAAGUAAAGUGAAUUACAUAGAUAAUUUGAAUUAAGCUCUGAAACGUGCACACAUCGCCC